rnacentral:rRNA from 1 species
UACGGAGGGUGCGAGCGUUAUCCGGAUUCACUGGGUUUAAAGGGUGCGUAGGUGGGUCUGUAAGUCAGGUGGUGAAAUCUCCGGGCUUAACCUGGAAACUGCCAUUGAUACUAUAGGUCUUGAAUUUUCUGGAGGUAAGCGGAAUAUGUCAUGUAGCGGUGAAAUGCUUAGAUAUGACAUAGAACACCAAUUGCGAAGGCAGCUUGCUACAGGAAUAUUGACACUGAGGCACGAAAGCGUGGGGAUCAAACAGG